rnacentral:rRNA from 1 species
AUGGCGGACCGGAGCAACAUCGGAAACCUUGGGUUGGCGGCGACAGUCGCCGUGGUUUCAACCGGCAUCAUCCUCAUCUCCUUCCACCUCAUCCGCCGCCUCAAGGAUGAUACCAAGCUAGACAAUAUCGCGGCGCAAGAACAACAGAGCAAGACGAUCAAGAAGGAGAUGCAGCUCACGGAUGACGUGUUGGCGGAUCUCUUCCCGGACGAUGAGGAGUUCUCCAGCUGGCUAGAGGGUAUGACAGUGACUGGUGGCCUCAUCCAGUCACCGCUACGAAGGGUCCCUCGAUUCGACAAUUUGGCAGACGCGCUUAAUUAA